UUGUGUCAAAUCCUUCCUACCUGAGGUGUCCUGAGGCAAGCCCAGGGAGGACAGAAACUUGGGCAGCAUAAAGGGCAAAAGUACACUUAAUCUUGAUUUUCAGUGGGAAUACAGGCCAUGCUAGUGUGGCCUCAGGAUCUUUUGACGUUCUAGGUUUUAAGCAAGAG
rnacentral:ncRNA from 1 species